UCUACGCCUCUCUCUCUCUCUCUCUCUAUUCGGCAUCCCUCUCCCUCUCCCUCCCCGUCUCCACUACUCCUCUCCCCUCCCUCUCUCACUGCCGCUCUUCUUCGCCUUCGACGGAAACCGGAGCACCUCCUUCUCACGCCGCCGCCUCCUCCUCCUCCGCCGAUCUUCACAGAUCCACCGCUGUGAGAUCCAGAGGCUUCAUCGCUGAGAUGAACUUUGCUCCAUUGAUGCUCCGUCUCGCGGGCUAUGUCGGAAUUCACAGCUCCGGAUUCAAAGAUUUUCUUUUAAAGCUAGAGCUUCUGCGGGCUAUUGUGGACUCUGGAUUUGAGCAUCCAUCUGAAGGCAAGAUAUUUAUUCAUAUAGUCAUUCAAAUUCAUAAAUAGAUUUUUUAUGUCUUAGAAUAACUAUUAAUUUUGUUUUUCUUUCAUUCUUUCAGUUUUGGUCAUAAUGUCAUGUUCAUCUAUCUGUUGAUGUCUAGCUGUCUUCUUAGGCUUUUGUAGAAUUUAGAUUAAAGAAAAAUGAGCAUCUGUAAUUGAAACGCAUAAGCUUUGUACUUUCUGGUUGUGGUUGUCUUGGAUCUCCUAUUACUUAGUUUCACUUUGGUAAGUUUUAGAUAUUAUGGCUUAUUUUUAAAUAGAUAGUGAUUAUUAUUGUUGUUAUUUGCUGGUAUUGAAUAUGUUGACACAUUAUACUUAAUAUUUUCUUAAAAUCAUGGUCAGGGUAGCUGCCUAUUUUUUUUCUCCUUUCUUUCAUCUUCCAAUAUUUAUUUUUUAUUUUUUGACGAUUAGCUUCUUGGAUGUCAUAUGUCAAGCGAAAUCUGGGAUGGGGAAAACUGCUGUUUUUGUUCUGUCAACAUUGCAGCAAAUUGAGCCUGUUGCAGGUCAAGUUGCUGCCCUUGUUCUAUGUCAUACAAGGGAAUUAGCUUACCAGGCAUGUAUCUAAAUCGUAGGGCUUAAACCCUCAUCUAUUACUCUCUCUUCCUCAAACAACUCACACAGACAUAUAUGUAUGCAUAGACAAUCCAAUUUCUAUCUUAUUAGUUUUCUUUCUUUUUGGUGUUUAUCAUUACUGCAAAUCUGCCAUGAGUUUGAGAGGUUCAGCACUUAUUUGCCAGAUAUCAAGGUUGCUGUUUUCUAUGGCGGUGUCAAUAUUAAAAUUCACAAGGACCUACUGAAGAAUGAAUGCCCUCACAUUGAUGUUGGAACACUUGGAAGAAUACUGGCACUUGCUAGAGAAAAGGAUCUUUCUCUGAGGAAUAAUAUCGUUGAAUAUCUAGAAAAAUGUAGAGCUUUCUUCCAAUGCUUAAUAAUGAACUCCCUCAUCAGAGGAAUUCAACUCGCAAGCAACAGUUCAAU